UCCAGACUCCUACGGGAGGCAGCAGUGGGGAAUAUUGCACAAUGGGGGAAACCCUGAUGCAGCGACGCCGCGUGAGUGAAGAAGUAUUUCGGUAUGUAAAGCUCUCUCAGCAGGGAAGAAAUAGCGACCUUUGGGUCGCCAGACGGUACCUGACUAAGAGGCCCCGGCUAACUACGUGCCAGCAGCCGCGGUAAUACGUAGGGGGCAAGCGUUAUCCGGAUUUACUGGGUGUAAAGGGAGCGUAGACGGCAUGGCAAGUCUGAGGUGAAAGCCCGGGGCUCAACCGCGGGACUGCUUUGGAAACUGUUAAGCUGGAGUGCAGGAGAGGUAAGUGGAAUUCCUAGUGUAGCGGUGAAAUGCGUAGAUAUUAGGAGGAACACCAGUGGCGAAGGCGGCUUACUGGACUGUAACUGACGUUGAGGCUCGAAAGCGUGGGGAGCAAACAGGAUUAGAUACCCGCGUA
rnacentral:rRNA from 1 species